rnacentral:rRNA from 1 species
GACGAACGCUGGCGGCGUGCCUAAUACAUGCAAGUAGAACGCUGAAGGAGGAGCUUGCUCUUCUGGAUGAGUUGCGAACGGGUGAGUAACGCGUAGGUAACCUGCCUGGUAGCGGGGGAUAACUAUUGGAAACGAUAGCUAAUACCGCAUAAGAGUAGAUGUUGCAUGACAUUUGCUUAAAAGGUGCAAUUGCAUCACUACCAGAUGGACCUGCGUUGUAUUAGCUAGUUGGUGGGGUAACGGCUCACCAAGGCGACGAUACAUAGCCGACCUGAGAGGGUGAUCGGCCACACUGGGACUGAGACACGGCCCAGACUCCUACGGGAGGCAGCAGUAGGGAAUCUUCGGCAAUGGACGGAAGUCUGACCGAGCAACGCCGCGUGAGUGAAGAAGGUUUUCGGAUCGUAAAGCUCUGUUGUAAGAGAAGAACGAGUGUGAGAGUGGAAAGUUCACACUGUGACGGUAUCUUACCAGAAAGGGACGGUUAACUACGUG